rnacentral:rRNA from 1 species
AUUGAACGCUGGCGGCAUGCCUUACACAUGCAAGUCGAACGGUAACGAGCCUUCGGGUGCCGACGAGUGGCGAACGGGGGAGUAAUACAUCGGAACGUGCCCGAUCGUGGGGGAUAACGAGGCGAAAGCUUUGCUAAUACCGCAUACGAUCUACGGAUGAAAGCAGGGGACCGCAAGGCCUUGCGCGGACGGAGCGGCCGAUGGCAGAUUAGGUAGUUGGUGGGAUAAAAGCUUACCAAGCCGAUGAUCUGUAGCUGGUCUGAGAGGAUGAUCAGCCACACUGGGACUGAGACACGGCCCAGACUCCUACGGGAGGCAGCAGUGGGGAAUUUUGGACAAUGGGCGCAAGCCUGAUCCAGCCAUGCCGCGUGCAGGAUGAAGGCCUUCGGGUUGUAAACUGCUUUUGUACGGAACGAAAAGCCUUCUUUUAAUACAGGAGGGUCAUGACGGUACCGUAAGAAUAAGCACCGGCUAACUACGUG